UGGUAUGGCCGUGUGGUCAGC
rnacentral:misc_RNA from 1 species